GUUGUGAGCCUGCGAAAGAAGUUUGUGUGGGGACUGUGGGCAGUGAAUGCGUUGGGAACAAUAUGGAAAACUGGGAGCUGCCUUGGAAUCUACAGGGCCGGGACCCACUCGAGCCAUCCACACUUUCCCCAGCCUCCUCCAAAACAGCACACUUUCCGGCUGAAGAAAAGAAGAAUGGUAUUCAUGCAGUUCCCAUUUUACAGAUGAAAACAAGAGGACUUUUUCUGUGAAGUCAAGAAAGUGGUUACAAUGGUACUUUCAGCCUGUCCGAAUUAUGUAUUGCCCCUCCCCUUUUUAUUAAUAACAUUGAAGUGUGAUGGGACAACCACUGAAGCCGUCUGUUGAAACCUGCUGGGACUUUUUAGCCAUUCUCUUCAACAUAAAGAAUGGGUGUUUUUGGAGGGGGUGAGAGGAAUGGGGAAAUGUUGUCAAAGAGUACAAUGUUUUAGUUGAGACAGGAGGAAUAUAUUUUGUUGAGAUCUACAGCACAGCAUGGUGACUGUAGUUAACAAUGAAGUAUUGUGUAUUUCAAAAUUGCUAAGACAAUAAAUUUCAAAUGUUCUCACCACAAAAAA
rnacentral:lncRNA from 1 species